rnacentral:lncRNA from 1 species
GUUUUCCCGGUGGUGGUCGAAAGGAGACUGUUUUGGAUGACACACGUAAUUGUUUACCUGAUCGACCUGAACAACGGUCGGCACAGGAAUGUGCGGUGGUUAUCAACCGUCCGGUUGACUGUAGCAAGGACAAGUGUGCUGGUGGUGGAUCUUCAACUCCGUCGAGACCAUCGCUGGUUCCUACUGUACCGGUUCAAAAGCCAUCACCAGUUCCAAGUCUGCCUGUUCCGGAACCCUCGCCAGUUCACAAACCACAGCCACCGAAAGAGUCACAGCAACCGGAUGAUCCUUACGAUCAGUCUCCGGUGAAGAACCGUCGCAGUCCUCCUCCACCAGCUCCUGUAAACUCUCCGUCCAUUCCUCUUCCAUCACCUCCUCUACCACCACCGGUUCACUCUCCCCCACCUCCUGUCAACUCUCCUCCACCGCCGGUUCACUCUCCUCCACCGCCAGUCCACUCUCCACCACCACCACCACCACCGCCUGUCUACUCUCCUCCACCACCCGUCUUUUCACCACCUCCUCCUCCGGUUAACUCACCACCACCACCAGUUCUCUCUCCACCGCCACCUGUUCACUCACCGCCGCCACCUGUCAACUCCCCACCACCACCGGUCUUUUCUCCUCCAGCUCAUCCGCCUAAGUCCAGUUCACCACCGCAAACACCAAGCGAACCUUCACCAUCACCAAUGAUCUUUUCUCCACAACCGUCGCAAUCUCCACCAGCAGUCUCCUCCCCUCCUCCAGGACCGCCAAAGGUCGACUGCCCACCGGCUGCACAAGCACCAGCUCCAAGUGAUGAACUCAUCACACCAACACCAGCUCCGGUGGAGAACAAACAGACGCCGUCUGCACAAGCACCAGCUCCAAGUGAUGAGCUCAUCAUACCACCCUUCGUCGGCCACCAAUACGCAUCGCCACCACCUCCAAUGUUCGAAGGCUACUAAUAUCAAUCGAAGAGAGAGAGAGAGAGGAACCGACUAUAUAUAAAAAGGCAAUU